GACAGAGGUGGCAAGCGUUGUUCGGAUUUACUGGGCGUAAAGGGCGCGUAGGCGGCCCGCUAAGUCGAACGUGAAAUCCCCGGGCUCAACCCGGGAACUGCGUCCGAUACUGGCGGGCUUGAAUCCGGGAGAGGGAUGCGGAAUUCCAGGUGUAGCGGUGAAAUGCGUAGAGAUCAGCAGGAAUACCCGUGGCGAAGGCGGCCCCCUGGGCCGAACCUGACGCUGAGGCGCGAAGGCUAGGGGAGCGAACGGG
rnacentral:rRNA from 1 species